rfam:Jeotgalibaca dankookensis strain EX-07, complete genome.
CCACAACUACAACCGCACGUAAAGAGUUGAAGUUCCUUUUGGACACUCUGGUCGGCGAGUCUAAGUAUAAUA